rnacentral:rRNA from 1 species
UACGUAGGGGGCGAGCGUUAUCCGGAUUCAUUGGGCGUAAAGCGCGCGCAGGCGGGCUCGUAAGCGGGACCUCUAAUCUCGGGGCUCAACCCCGAGCCGGGUUCCGAACUGCGAACCUCGAGUGCGGUAGGGGAGGUCGGAAUUCCCGGUGUAGCGGUGGAAUGCGCAGAUAUCGGGAAGAACACCGACGGCGAAGGCAGACCUCUGGGCCGUCACUGACGCUGAGGCGCGAAAGCUAGGGGAGCGAACAG